UUACCAGCUAGUUCUGUGUGGGCCACAGCUGCUGUGUGCUGGGCGUAGAGAAGAUUAUUGAAUGUCUCCUCUCAAUGUCUCUCUGCUGGUUCUGGCAUUCUGUUUGCUGCUUCAGUGUGGAGAUAUCAAGCCCAAUCCAAGACCAACAAAUCCAGGUUAUGAAGCAAUGGUUGACUGUGGACAAGAAAUUGUCAGGUCCCUAUCUACAGAUCCAACAGGAUUUACUGUCUCUUUUGUUAGUAAGCGAUUGGUAUCUCCUAUUAUGCUCAGAGAGACAAAUGAGCUGAAUGAAACGAAAACUAAAAAAGCAAGCAGACUGCACACCGAAGUGUUAGAAAAAGUGGAGCAAUAUCCUGAAAAAUACAACGAAUUUGUUGAUACACUCAAAGAGAAGAAAGAAUGUGACACUGUUCUAAAACUUGGCCUCAAAUACACUCUUCACGUAGAGGAAGAUGCCAAACGUAGAGAAGUUAUUACCCAAGAAAGCGAAAAUGGUGGUGCUAUUGUUAGAAGUGAUUCUCUUGCAACAUCAGACUUUAGCUCUCCACCCACCAGCCCAAUGUCUAUGUCAUGGAGUUCUGCUUCUUCACCGUCUUCCUCGCUAACCGGGGGAAGUAUGAAGCCUGUUAAUGAAGGAGCAUUGAAUGCUCUUCGCAGUGCUAACUUAGUUGGUAUGAGGCACCGAGGCACCAUUUCUCUGUGUUCAUCACAAAUGUUAAGAAGGGAUUAUCUACCAGUGAUGUUGAAGGAUAUAAAAGUACAUUGAAAAUUUAUUAUACAAAUAUGCCUGUGCUUGGAGAUAUUGAGAGUAUUAUUACUUACUUGGUAAACAAGAACUAUUGGAACUAUUUGAAUUGUGAGCACCUUUUCUUGGUGAUUGAUACGUAUGGAAAUGAUGCCUUAACAAAAGAGAAAAAAGAGUUUGAACAGAGGAUUAAAUCAUAUGCUGUUGCUACUAAACUUCAAGAGUAUUUAUCAGGAAGAAGAGAUUUACUUUCUUAUAAAAAAGAGGCUAGAGGUCGAUCAAGUAACAAACACAGAAGAAGCAGCUCGGAGUAUCGUGGCCAGUUAUCUAUGAAAUUGGAGAUAGAUUAAGUCAUUAAACGACAUUGAAAAGUUGUGGUCAAGAUUAUUAGAUGUUGGUUUACCCAAGAUUGGAGUAGUUCUGCAUGGACAGUAUCAUUGCUGGGUGUAUCCAUAUCAUUUGGACCAUAUUUCUUCCAAGCAUUGCAAUGGAUUUUCGAAAAAAGGCUACGCAGCCGAGUUGGAGCAGCCGAGUUUUUAAGAAUAAUAAAAUUGUUCAAGUGAUCCUAAAUAAGUAUGCCUGACCCUGAGGCAGUGAAGCCUUCACUCUCCACCACUGAGCAGACGCCUCAAGCAAGCACUGAACAGAAAUCAGAGGCCAAGAAAUCCCCCAAAGUAUCCUAUUUUGUUAUACGUAGCUUCACUUUCAUCUUGUUAUGCAGGACAUUGAAAAAGAAGCAAAGAUUAUUGAGCUCUUACUGAGGGGAUUUGCUAAUAGAAUGGACAAUCCAUCUAGCAAUAAAUAUCGAUAUGAAGAGACCAACAUCGCUGAUGUCAUUGGAGGGAAAGGAGUGAAAUCAUCUGAAGAAAUUACUCACAAACUAGCAAAAGUGGCUAUACCUGUUAUCGAGAUAAGAGGGACUUCAUUCGUGUAGACCCUGAUGACAAACUCUAUGUAUAGUUUAAAUUGUUCUGUGACGAGUUACUAACUCUAUAAUUACUGACUGUAUAGUUAGCGUCCUUUUCAUAUGUAGAUCUCAAUAGCAUUUUAAUAGCUGCAGUAAUUUAAUGUGCCAAUAAUUUAAUUAAAGUAGAUUAUUGUUCUUCUUGUGUGAUGUUUUUAUCUUUAUAAGUUUAUUCAUAAUUAUAAUCUUG